GAUGAAGAACGCAGCGAAAUGCGAUAAGUAAUGUGAAUUGCAGAAUUCAGUGAAUCAUCGAAUCUUUCAACGCACAUUGCGCCCGCCAGUAUUCUGGCGGGCAUGCCUGUUCGAGCGUCAUUUCAACCAUCAAGCCCCCGGCUUGUGUUGGGGACCUGCGGCUGCCGCAGGCCCUGAAAAGCAGUGGCGGGCUCGCUGUCACACCGAGCGUAGUAGCAUACAUCUCGCUCUGGGCGUGCUGCGGGUUCCGGCCGUUAAACCACCUUCAUAACCCAAGGUUGACCUCGGAUCAGGUAGGAAGACCCGCUGAACUUAAGCAUAUCAAUAAGCGGAGGA
rnacentral:misc_RNA from 1 species